rnacentral:rRNA from 1 species
AUUGAACGCUGGCGGCAUGCCUUACACAUGCAAGUCGAACGGUAACAGGUCUUCGGAUGCUGACGAGUGGCGAACGGGUGAGUAAUACAUCGGAACGUGCCCGAGAGUGGGGGAUAACGGAGCGAAAGCUUUGCUAAUACCGCAUACGAUCUACGGAUGAAAGCAGGGGACCGCAAGGCCUUGCGCUCAUGGAGCGGCCGAUGGCAGAUUAGGUAGUUGGUGGGAUAAAAGCUUACCAAGCCGACGAUCUGUAGCUGGUCUGAGAGGACGACCAGCCACACUGGGACUGAGACACGGCCCAGACUCCUACGGGAGGCAGCAGUGGGGAAUUUUGGACAAUGGGCGCAAGCCUGAUCCAGCCAUGCCGCGUGCAGGAUGAAGGCCUUCGGGUUGUAAACUGCUUUUGUACGGAACGAAAACGGUAGUACGUCUACUAAUAAAGGCCUUGCUAAGUCGAACGGUACCGUAAGAUAACGCACCGACUAACUACCGUGCC